rnacentral:tRNA from 1 species
GCACACAUAGCUCAGUCGGUAGAGCACAUCCUUGGUAAGGAUGAGGUCACCGGUUCGAUCCCGGUUGUGUGCU